CCCGGUGGCGGACAAGCUGUGAUACAGCAAAGGAUUGAUUGCAGAGAAGAUAUGUGUCAGGCCGAUGAGGAUCUGGAUGGCCUGCCGGGGAGGACAGGUCACUGUCCGCAGGUGGGAGAGCCCAUCUCAGCAUGUGACUUACCAGGCAAAGACUUCUUGGAUACUUUUCUGCUGCCACGGAGAGGGAUCCAGAAGUGAUGAACUGGUACCGAAGAGAGGGGUUUAGAAAGAGCAGAGAGAUCCCAUUCAAGUGCACUGGGUUUACAGUCCACCUUGUGGCUUCCUGGGCCCACUUUCUUCCAGAGGCCACAUGGAUCAACAUGGAUGCUGACAAUAACACCAGCAUUUAAGUUUACCACUUUUUUUUGUUGGUUUUCUUCCACUUUCUUGAAAUGUCUAAGUCAGAAAAUACGAGGCCCCAUACUGAGGCCUUGGUGAUGUUGCUCAGCUGAGCUUUCUAAUGGACCAGAGUUCGGCAAGGCUGGGUCAGCUCCAGUCCUGCUGGCUGGGUCUGGAGCUUCUGUAUUUCCAAGCCUCCCCCCACCCCUCCAACUCCAGCUGUGUGACCACUGGCCUGCAGAGUGAAGUCUC